AUUGAACGCUGGCGGCGUGCUUAACACAUGCAAGUCGAACGAAGUGGCGAACGGGUGAGUAACGCGUAAUCAACCUGCCCUUCAGAGGGGGAUAACAGUUGGAAACGACUGCUAAUACCGAAUACGGAGGGCGGGGAUUGCGUCGGAUUAGCCAGGUGGAGGGGUAACGGCCCACCAAGGCGAUGAUCAGUAGCCGGGUUGGGAGGAGGAACGGCCACAUUGGGACUUGGACACGGCCCAGACUCCUACGGGAGGCAGCAGUGGGGAAUCUUCCGCAAUGGAAGAAAGGCUGACGGGGCAACGCCGCGUUAGUGAUGACGGCCUUCGGGUUGUAAAGCUCUGUUAAUCGGGACGCGGUACCGGAAUAGAAAGCCACGGCUAACUACGUGCCAGCAGCCGCGGUAAUUC
rnacentral:rRNA from 1 species